AAUCCGAGAAUUUCACCUCUGACAUAUAAAUACGAAUACCCCCAACUGUCCCUCUUAAUCAUUACCUUGGUAUGCAAACCAACAAAAUAGUACCAACGUCCUAUCUUAUUAUUCCAUGCUAAUAUAUUCACAGCGAUUGCCUGCUUUGAACACUCUAAUUUUUUCACAGUAAAUGAUAUAGGUCACAAGCGCGCCAACUUAAUGACAACACUUGUUCUCUAUAAGGAUGACUAGAGACGACACAAGUAACACGAACCAUUCGGCUCGGACCGGUCGCUCCUGUCAGAAAUCCAACUACGAGCUUUUUAACUGCAACAACAUUAAUAUACGCUAUUGGAGCUGGAAUUA
rnacentral:misc_RNA from 1 species